AAAGGUCUGACAGCUCCUUGCCCUAAGAACACAUUUAAACCAUCUAACUCUGCCUUAGAUCAUAUGUGGCCGCCAGGAAGACGGCAACAACUUGCUACUUAUGGGGGGAAACUACACAACUUGGACGUUUCUUUAAUAGGAAUCCAUUUCCGAAUAUGGAUGUUGUACGUAGAGCGGACAAUGAUAUCGACAUACACUAUAGGUGGGUUAUCUUAUCCUGCUUUAUUUUGUUAAAUGGAAGGAAAAUCUACAACAUUUUCGUUUUCAAAAGAACGUUAGUGGGAAAUAGCAGCAAAAGAGUGGAUUGACUGAGAUGGUGAGAAAGAAUCGAAUGGAUUUGAUUUUACACGGCGUCUAUUGUCUGCAGAGGGUAGUGGACAGGAGCUACAUUAACCGUCUGUCCCCCCGUCAAGACAAGACGAGACACCUGGGAAGCAGGGCAGGAAAAAAAGUGGACUAGAAGUGAACCUUUUUUCUCUUCGAUGACUAACGGUACUUAUCGCAGGAAAGGAAACGUUUCCAGAAUAUGUUGUUAGAAUACUUGAAUAUUCCACAUGGAUAUUGAAAUCAACAGCAGUACCAAGCAGUAGCAGAAUAGCUGCACUAGGCCUGUUCAUUUUGGAAUCAAUAUAAUAGUGAGAAUAACCAGACAUUACAAAUAGUGUUUUAAUUGUAAUUAAUGGUAAAUAAUAUUUUACUUUCUUUUGACGUUUUCUGUUUAAAAAAUAAAGGAUCCUGUUGUAUAGCGAAUUCGGUUCAAGUAAGUUAAUUGUUAGAUCGAAGACAGAUGGCAUUGAUGAAAGGUCAGUUAAUAGUUUGAUGUUUGCAUUGUCUUAUUUCUAUUCCUGAAUUUCCUGAACACAAUAAAACGUUCUCUCACAUGGAUGUUAUGUUUUGUCUUAUGAAUGAAUCAUAAUCAGUCGAGUCGAAUUAUUGUUGGACCAGUAUGACAAUGUAAUCCAUACCUACAUUGAGCCCUUUGGUGGUAAAAUAGCUAUGGGACAUUAUUAUCAUGGAACAGGAGCUAAACACAUAACAUAUCGAGUAUUCCUGAACAGACAUGUUGCAGUGGGAUAGGAGUGGAGUAGUAAGACAUGAUGGAUAAGACUGGGUAUCCGUUAGAAACAUGUGUAGGUCUGUAUAUGUGGAGAGGAGGAUCAUUCACAAUGGCGAUGGCAGUGAGUGGGACUAGAGAGAAGACUAUCCACCUACACAUAUGGUAUUGUUCUGUAGAUAAACCUCCCCCACACAGACACAGCUCAAAGGAGAAUAUUAGUGUGUAGUUACAUAUCCGGACAUGUGAAUUCAUGGUAAGUCAUACUCCCUUCGUGUAGCUAUAGGGUUUAUACCUUAUGAAUAUAGCCUAAAGGUCUAGGAUAUUAUGCUGCUAUGUUGGUCCCGGAAAUGACCGUAGAAGAUGGAAUCGUCUGAGAGGAGUAUGUCACUGAACCAAAGAUGGUGAAUAAAUAAAGAUGUCCCACUCAGGCCGUUAACCGUUGAAAAAAAGUUGUCAUUUCAAUUCUGCUUAACGGAGUGGCUCUCCCAUAGGCACCAGUGCCUUAGCGGAUGGGUCUGGUCUGCUUAGUUCAUUGACUGUACAUGAACCAGAAAAAAAUAGGGAGUGGGAUGUCUUGCUUCCUCUUCCCUCUCUGACUGAACAUCAAAGGCACAUGUUAAGAGUGAGGGAAUUGGGUCAGGAGACGACAAGGCCUUGUGCUGAAUGAUUUAACAACGUCCUUUGUUUUCAAACGUGUUUUGUAGUUAUGAGGUCAUAUUUAGGCCUUUUUCAAAUCAUGUUUUAAAAAUGCACUUUUUUUUAGCUUGGCCUUUAAUCAGAGAUGUUAUUGUUUAAGACAUCCUUUGUGUUUUAUGCUCUUUUAUUCAUCUCUUUUAUUGCUUCUGGUUUGCUUUUAAUUCUCUCAGGGUUUACUGUAACAUGUGAUGAGAUUUUAAAUGCAUUUUAAAUAAAGUUUGAUUGAUUUGAUUAAAUACUUUCUUCAUUGUUAUUUGAUAUUUAAUGCCAGGCUGUGAGGCUGGGCUGUGCAAAAUGUGAGGCCGGGCUGUUAAUACAUAAAGGUGUAAAUAAUAA
ensembl:lncRNA